CUGCAGCAUUUACUCCUCUGCCGCCUUCCGUGCGGUUUGUGCAGUUGGGUGCGCUGCACCCCGUCAUACUGGAUUACAAGUGUCAUUACGAUGUGUUUCGUAUCACUUCACCAAGCUCCUUGACUUAAUAUCGUCGAAUACCGUACGUACCUGCAACCGAGAGCCGCCGAAUGAAACGCACGCCGCCCGCUCGACGAUCUGCUGAUUGCAAUGACGAUGGCACCGACGGAAAUGCGUCGAGUCGCCGUCGCGCCCGUAAAGUUGGCUUCGCUGCGGCGCAGUUGAACAUUUGACGU
rnacentral:lncRNA from 1 species